rnacentral:lncRNA from 12 species
ACAACAGACUCAGGUGGGGGAGGGGCACUUUUAAUUGAAGACUUUUUUUUUAUUUUUGGAGGAGGGGAGGGGCAGAGGGAGAAAGAGGAUCUCAAGCAGACUCUGCCGCCAGCUCGGAGCCCGAUGUGGAGCUUGAUCUCAUGACCCUGAGAUCAUGACCUGAGCUGAAAUCAAGAGUCAGACUUGAGCCCCCCACCCCGCAGUGCCCCUAAUUGGGGACAUUUUAAAUUUUAGCAAAGAUGGGUUCAACCUAAAAGUCAACGGUUGUCCAGUGUAGUUUAAGCAGCAAACAAAAUCUUAGGAGGAACCUCACACGUACGGUAGACUGCAAGGGAGAUGCUCUGGUGUACAAGUAGGCUUGCCUGGAGCCCGGCGCUCAGCACCCCUCCACUCGCCUCUCAGGUCCUCGGGGCUCCUCGGGAUUGGAUGGGAAGCCCACUGCUACGGAAGGUUGAAGAUACUGGCCAAACUCGGAUGAGAGAUUAGAGUCAGAGAUGAAGGUUUGGGGUUCCCAGUAUAGACCUGAUAAGUGGAGACAUUCACGGCACCUCUCAGGAGGAGAGAGCAGGGGGGUCGCCCUCGGGUAGGGACAGGGAGAGCAGCUGGUGACCUUGGACCAAGCCUCCAGACCAUCUCUGCUAUUUCAAAUAUUAAAUUCCCGCUCGUAGUCAUGUGUGCAAUAGAGACGUCUCCUCUCCAGGACUCUCCUUCCUCUGUCUCUUUGGUCCUGCAUCAAGGCAUGUCUCUGGCCCAACGUCCAUUCCCCUCCCCCCUUUUCUCCUCUUCCCCCCACCCCGGCUCUCCAUCCUCCAGCUCCCCUGGCAUCCUUCCGUCUCCUGUCUCCCUGCCCUCGGCUCUCUCAAGUUCUUCAUCACCCCCCACCCCACCGCUCCUCACUGGGGUCUGUUCGGUCAUGGUUUAUUUUUAGCCCCCGUGCCAUCCUGAGGAUGUGAACAAUAUUCCUGAGUCAUGGUUUUACAAGGAAGCAGAAACAGCUCCCUCAACAUCUCUCAAGAUCACUUAUCAACCUCUGGCCAGGCCUGCAGCGGAGAGAGCAUAGCCGGCCAGUUCCUCUUCUGGAAGGAACCCCCCCACCUCAGCGUCUUAGAGAAGCAGCUGCUUCUGCUGGUCGCAGAGAAGCAACCUGAGCUCAUCUCAUUACGUCCACAUCACAUCCUCCGCAAAGCCCGUUUCGGGAGCAAGGACCGUGCUGCAGCCUCUGCUGUCUGCGUGAUUGAAAGCAGAGAAGAAGCCUGUUCAGAAAAGGUGCAGGUGAAAUCAACUCCAAAGAGCCCUGAAUUUGAGUCCAGAGACAGGGAGCUCUGAGACCCACAAGGUCACCCUCCUGGCACUGAGCUUUUCGGAGCCUGGGGGAAUCCAGAGUCCUUGCCACAUGUGUUUCCAACAAGACACAGACUGGGAGUCCCAGAGAUGGUCUUGGGACAGACGAGGUGGCCGCUAAGAGCUGGGAGAAGAAAGUCCGCUCCCCAGGAUACCUCGGAGAAGCACAGGAAGCCCAGAUGCUGGUGGCAGCCCUCAAAGACGACCCAGCAUGAAUCCUCCCACAACAUCCCAUUCUUAGAUUUGUUUGCAUCUUGGCUCAGGCUUCUCUCCCCCCUCCCUGGCAACCAAUUUCAUUUCUGGAUUCCUUUCAAUGUUACUACAUUUUUUUUUUCUGUCGCUGAUGAUCAAAUAAAGCAGUAGCAGAGAUUUCUCA